rnacentral:rRNA from 1 species
UACGGAGGGUGCAAGCGUUAUCCGGAUUCACUGGGUUUAAAGGGAGCGCAGGCGGAUUAGUAAGCCAGUGGUGAAAGCCUUAAGCUUAACUUGGGAACUGCCAUUGAUACUAUUAGUCUUGAAUGUUGUUGAGGUUUGCGGAAUGGGUCAUGUAGCGGUGAAAUGCAUAGAUAUGACCCGGAACACCUAUUGCGAAGGCAGCAGGCUAAACAAAUAUUGACGCUGAGGCUCGAAAGCGUGGGGAUCAAACAGG